CCCCUAGAUGUUCUGGGCCGCACGCGCGCUACACUGAACAGUUCAACAAGUCUUAACCUUGGCCGAUAGGUCUGGGUAAUCUUUGAACGCUGUUCGUGAUUGGGAUAGACCUUUGCAAUUAUGGGUCUUCAACGAGGAAUUCCUAGUAAACGCAAGUUAUCAGCUUGCAUUGAUUACGUCCCUGCCCUUUGUACACACCGCCCGUCGCACCUACCGAUUGAAUGGUCCGGUGAAAUCUCGGGACGGCGGCUUGGUCGCUUGCGUCCGACUGCUGAAACUUGAUUAAACCAUAUCAUUUAGAGGAAGGUGAAGUCGUAACA
rnacentral:rRNA from 1 species